AGCCAGCCAUCGUAACAGCAAAGUUUUGCUUAUGCUGGACCUCCAGUCAUAUGAUUUGACUGAAGACUGAUGACCUCAUGUCAUCAGCAACAAUCACACAAUCAUCGCUUUAGAUAAACAGCACCCCGUUUGAGUGGAGAAAUUUCCUGUGUCGGUCGAGCUACGGAUCUCUUUUCCCCCUUUAUCCGUAAAUGUCCCCGUGUACGGGGGUGUAUUCACGAGGACGCCCUUUUUUCUAUUCCGCCUGGCGUCUUCAACUUAUCAGCGGAUGGAUGGAGUACCUGUGGAUGCCUGGCCGUAUUUCCCGGGCAUAAAGGUAGGACAAAUUCAUCUCUAUUCUUCCUUUUUGACCAUUUAGGGGGGGGGGGCGUUUAUUAUAAAUCGUUGCGGAUGAGUACGGAGUACGAUUAUUCCUGGGCCAUGCAGUUGGCUGAAACUGUUUCAUCUUGCUGUUUUUGUUUGUCUCAGUCAGGGUUCAUUAAAUAGCUCACGUGUAGAACCACUGCAGAUCAGGCCUGUUUUUUUUUUGUACCUCGCAACUUUGUCUGUGGGUAAAAUUCAAAAAUAUUUGAACUUGAAACACUUGAAGCAAAAUUUGAAAAUUCAUCGUUUACGAAUAAUGGUUUUUUUUCUUUUAAUUUCAUAAAACAGUUUUAUUUUCGGUCGUUUUUGCCGUGUUUUAUUUCAAUUUGAAAGCGCAAUCGAGCGUAAUUUGUAUUAUUAAAUUUGCGGUUUUUUUUAAAUUAUUUUUAUUUAUUUAGCGAAUUUCGUUAUUUAAAUUAAAGUAAAAAUAAUAAUAAAAAAAAAUACCUUGACUGUUAUAAACCUGGUCUGUAUUUUGGUAAAUCUGUUGCCAUCGUGGUGCCAUGUUAUAAGCAAGUGAUGAGGUGACGGGGUCAUUGGUAACAUCUCCCCUGGCUGUUUGAAUUGUAUCACGGCUUGCCGGACGUAACAAUGGGGGACAACGGUCAGCCUCAAUCUAAAUAUUGGCCGUAAUCAUGUGUACACAAGGGAUGCAAUCUGUUGUUAGAUACAUCAUCUUUCUAUCCAGAUUUCAAUACGGUUUUGGAUUGCCGGCCCAAAUAUUUGCCAAACAAACGCGACGGUUUGCGGCCGCGCUGACGGACAAUUCAAUAAAAGAAUCAAACACGUCCGCGCCCCGUCAUAAUAAUAAUGGAGGAGUGGGGGGGGGGGACGCCCUUCAUUCACACGAUGUGAAUUUGUCUUGUGUCCAAACGUCCACGUCAAACACGGGCGCUUACGUCAAUGGAAUGACGACGAGUGAAUGGCGAAUGCUGGGCGCCCAGCAGACAUAAUACGGUAAUUCGAUCCAACAGGAGUCGAUCUAGCGGGAACCUCAGGAGCCUAGCAGACGAGGAAUAAAUAAAGUAGCCAUUAUCAUCAUCACAGCAAACGCCAGACGGUCUAAAUGAUACAAAAGAUCUGACGACGGAUACAUAUUAUACAUACACGGGCGACAAAACGAACGAACACAAAGUGUGACAAAUAGAUACUAUAUAGUACUAUACCCUGCUCCAUUGACAUGUAUCCAUUUGGAUAUCAUUGUGCAAUGUCUAUGUCGACUAUAAUAAAACGGGACUACAAUCGAUGGGAAAAAGGAGCGGGAUGGUGCUGGCUUCUCCUUGCAAGACUGUUGGUAAAUCGCGCCGGGGUUUGGGGUGCACGAUGAAGACCAUUGUGCGCGUGUAAUGUGCCUUGUUGUCGUUUGAAUCAGUGACAGUUGGGUCGUUGUGGACGACACGACCGAACACGUUUCCAGUUCUUUCGAGCGUACAUACAUAAUAUGCGGAGUGGUGAAGGGAAAAAAAUUAAAUACAUCGGAACUUGUACAUAUGGACAAUGUCCGUCUCUCUAUCGUUCACCCCACCUCAGAGGGGGGUGGGUCCGGUCGGAAUAAGCUAAAAAAAAAAUGAUAAUGCAUCUCUACUUUACGUGGGAAAAAAAGUAGAGGGAAUAAAAUAAAAUAAAAAACACGAUAGGGAAAUGUAAUAACUGUCGUACGUACCUCUCCAUUAUAUCACGAAGAUGAGCUAAAGCGCGCUUAUUUAUAUUCUAUUUGAUUUUUUGGCUUUGAUUGUUUGUCGUCUCUUGCAUCACACAAUCGAGUUUUUUUAAAAAAUAAGCAUCUCUGAUUUCGGCACCCGUGUUCUCAGUGUGUGAAAAGAAUAGAUAUAUCAUUUCACUCUUGGCUUCUUCAAUUCUUUUGAUGUCUAGUGAAAGUUGUUUUUUCUACGUACAAAAAGGGGGCGGGGUGAUGAACAGCAGAAGAAGAAGAAGAAGAACCGGAAUUGAUAUAAUAGAAUGGCCAUCACGGACAUAUGCCAAGACGGAUAAUAAACGACGUCAACGACUUUGCCAUUCGUUUUUUUUUUCUCAAUUGAAAAGAAAAGGGGAAACUACUCGUGACUCUUGGUGGUUCCUCACAUGAUCUUGAUGUAUACAGCGUCGCCCAACGCCUUUGUGUUGUUGCUGUUGUUCCAUCAACAGUUGCACGGAUGGGGGUUCAUAUAUAGUCUUCUCGAGAAGAAAUAAAUCAAAAACCGGUUGUGAUGUGCACACCCUUUCAGUUGAAUUUCAAAUUCAAGACGCCGAGCUGUUUGUUUUCGCUCCCGGUGUUUAGAUAUCUGCUGAAGAGCGACUCUAUAGAUAUAACUGUCACUGGAGUUUUGUUACAUAGUGAUGCAUGUGUAUGUAUAAUAUAUAGUAUAGUAACCGGAGAAGAGGAACACACACACAACCGGUAUAGACAACUAAACGCGUGCCUAUAAGAAAUUUCGCCUUUGGGAAGAGUCGCAACAACAACAAAUCGUCAACGUCAACACAAAUAUGAAUGGCGAUUUCCUAUUCAAAAUGAGAACUAAUUGCUGCAACUUUUGUUACAAGUUAUGCGGGACAUUUAUUUGAACGAAACUUUUUUUUGUCUGUCGGUACACUUUUGUUAAAUAGGAGAGAAAAAAACAAGCGACGAUUUAUCUUUUUCUCCUUUAUGGUGAUUGUAUUAAGUGGGAGCCGCGGGGACUUGUCAAAGCGUCGCAUACCCCGCCGCGUUUCAAAUAUUGCGGGCUCCAUUAUGCGGCGCCAUAUUUGAAACCGUGUAGCUUUAUAUUCAAAUUAGGAAAAGCUAUUUGAAUCUGUCAAAUAUGCAGAGCGAGUUAUAAUGAGAGCCCCAGCGGGAUGCAAUCAAAUGUCGCACAUUUCCCCAUACAUAUUGCGUCACGGCCGUGCCGCAUUCAUCGACGUAUUGACACGUGAGAAACAACAUUUCUCUGUGACGACUCGGGAACUUUUUAGAUCCGAUUAUUAUUGAGUGCUGCAUAGCAGUGGAGGGCGUGUCUCGCUCUGUUUUUUUUUUUUUUUAUUUCCAUCGACUCGCAGUUGUACUUCUCCUGUGACUCUAUCGCCGCUAAACAUUUUUCCGUCUCCCUUUUCAGACCUUGGCUGUUGUUGUUGUUAAAAGGCUUUUCAUUAUGUGAAAUACAAAAAUCCGCUAGGAGCUUUUGAGGCACGAUAUAUAGACUCGUAUGGUUUGUGAAUCCAUUAUUCCGUAGAUUGGGCCUAUAUGUGUGUGUUUAGAAGGCCGGCCCUGCUGCCAUGCUUUUAGCGUUUUGUGUGCGUGUGUCGUCUUCCGACGAGAAAAAUGUCUAACCAUCUGAUCUUUUGUUGAGCAGUUCCUCAGGGUUCGGAGAGAGAGAGGCUGCGAGCGCGUCUAUAGGAUCGGUGGUGUUGAAGCCGAAGAGAGAACAACAAUAGGGACAAAACAAAUAAAAACAGGAAUCAUUGAGGCAGCAGAGUCUAUACGACAUCAUCUUGUCAAGGAGAGUUAGCCGACCGUGAAAUUGUUACAGUGACAGUGCUGGUUGGAGAUUGUUGGCUCGAGGUGCGGCGGAAUUACAGGGAGAGGGGGGUAGAAAGGGCGGGGAUGAAGGCCUAUACUAUGUCAACAAUUGUCCUCGUUUUCAUGUCGGACACAAUUCUGGCGUGUAUAUCUACCUAUUAUUACGUCAUUGGUAUUUUGUUGCCGUCCCGCGUACAAUGUCCGUCCGAUUUGAAUGGCGGCGCAAUAUGCCAAGUCCUAUCUGCCACUUUGGCUCAGUCAAAUGAAAUUGAUCGGCCAAUCUCAAACGAAAACGGCCAUUCUUGUACACGAGUAAUCCUAUUUACUUUGGCAUUUAUAAUCCCAAGACGUUAAAUCUUUAAGUUGUGUAUCGAAUUUAGCGAUGACGCCUUUAAAACUAUUGCGUCAUUUUUAUUGUUAAAUGCCAAAUGUUUAUUCAUUGCGACCUCCUCAGCCUACUGCUGGAUGCCCACCUGGACAUUUAUUAAUUUUAUUCGAAGCUAUACCGUCCGGCUAGAUAUUCAAAAUUUUAUGUGAAAUGAUGAUCGGGAUAUAUGCGUCACUGCUGCUGAUUUACAUGCGUGUCUCUGCGCCCCCGGGUGAAAGGAUUCCUAUAGUAAAUACCCAGCACGGCCUGGUUCGGGUUCGUUCGUGAUGGUGUGUUUUGACUUGGAUAUAUCUAUUAUUAUACGCGGUGAAACUAUUCCGAGAGACGAUUGCAUGACCGUCAGUCCGCGCGUUCUAUAAUAAUGUCUGCUGUUGAGUUGCACGUAGCUACUAGACAUAGCCAUAGCCCCGCACUGACCAGCAGCAGCAGUCUCUCGGUACAAUGUUUGUGUGUGCCCAUCGAAAAAAGUCACGAUUUUUCAUUCCUUUUUUUGAAAUCUGGAAAGUAGCGAGAGAGAAAGAGAGAGAAGACGCACACAACUGACAAGUUGAAUAAUUUCGUUGGUGGCUCAACUUAUUAGUUUUUGUCGUGUCGACUUAUCAAAGAAGCGCGUAUCUACUGUACGUAUGUAUGUACCAGACGUAACUAGUUUUUCCCGUGAUAGUGUGGACUAUACCUCGGAGUAUAUAUAAAUGAUGGCGCAUACACUAUAGACUUCACCUCCGUUUGUGUUGGAAAAAAUUCAUUGUCUUUCACCGUUUCGCUAGCGUACAGAGAGAUAUACGGGAAGGUCACGGGCUGCCGCUUGGAAAUCUAGGUGUAUUAUAUACGUGUACGGUAUAAUAUAAUACGCCUGUUGCUUGUAGUAUUUUUCGUUGUAUAGACACCGGGAUCUACUAUAUGGUGCCGUGCCUUCUUUUUGUUGUUGUUGUUGUCAUAAGGAGUUGAUUGACUUGGCUUUAUUCCCAGGCUUUUAUCAAAUCCUCAAAAAGAAUUUGGGACUCUUAGAUUAUAGUCUACCUAUAACAACACAAAUUGUUUGAAAUCAACUCCUUUAUUUUAUUUUUUUUAAAGUUCGCCAGUAAUAACAACAGGAUGUGUAAUAAUGAGAUAAAUGGUUUCUCGUAUGAUGUAAGAGGGCAAAAAAAAGUGUAGUCAAUAAUAUUCUUCUUGUCUUGUUUGUCCCAAACAGCCCGACCCACUCACUUCAAUAUUAUAAGGUAACCCCAUGGACAGCAGUGUGGUGUUAUGCGGGGAUGUUAUAUAACCGUAUCUACGCGGACACGUGGGAAAUAACUCGCUUUGCCCGGGGGAGAGUUUUUACUCCAUUGAAAGUGUCACAUAGAAAAGGGGCGUUGUACUGUAGGUUUGAUUUCCAUUAGCUCUCUCUCUCUCUCUCUCAUAUAGGGGAGAACAUUUUUUUUUUCUUCUUUCCAUUUCGUUUUUCAAUUCUACUUUAUUUUUUGAAAAAAUAAAAAUAACCCAAAAGAAUGCUUUCAUUAAAGAUAUCUCUACUCUCUCUCGCUGUGUGUGUGUGUGUGGGAGACCAACCCCUCUCGUUUUCUAGUCCGUUAUCUCUAUCCCCAGGUCGUCCGUUUGUGUUUGUGUGCUCUUCUUCGUUCACGUCGUCCCUCAACAAGGGCGAGAGAGAGAGACGUUCUUUUGUUGCAUCAUCCGCCGAAAGUUCUUUCCAUUCGUGGAUUUCGCCAGCAGCGGAUGAGGGACGUGAUGCCGCGCAUUACAUUAGAAAGAGCUCGGCACAAAAGGUCACAAGGCAAAAAGCCCAGCAUCUUCUUCUUGUUGUGUCCACCCAUACUCGAAAGUCAGUCGAGUGAAGUAAAUUUUUAUUGCAAUCAUAACAUAAUGAAAGCAAGCAGCUUGGGCAUUUUAUAUAUAAAGGAUGAUGCCCAAAAGAAGAAGGGCAAUGUCAACAUUGUCAGUGGAUCGGGGGGGUCAAACAAUUGGGGCGUUGGCAUAUCCAAACGUAAGUUUUCCGUCCGACGAGAGAGAUAGAGGCGAAUAUCUGGUACAAGACAUUUUUGUCUGUUGGCGAACUCGCAUAUCAAAUCAAUUGGCCAUCUUGACGAGAAACAACUGGCAUAGCAUCGGCAUUCUUUUGUGCGCUAGUUUUUCCCCCAACGACCGCCGUCGACAGAGAUAUCCGCUGGCUAUUUUUUCUCUUAUUCAAAAAUUGGCUCAUCUGCCAAGUCCCUGUCGGGAAAUUCGGAGGGCUCAAAAGCUCUUUUGUGUCUAUCAAAUUAUAGAAUUACAUAAGAAUGACCUCUCUCUCUCUUCUGUAUUUCUGUCGACGGGAAAUACAUAACGUGGGAUAGCCUUGGGGAUAGCCGUUGAGCUGAUUUUGUUUGCAGCUCCGAGACUUUGUCCUCAAAAUGUAGUGCAUUAAUCUAUUCACAAUCAAAUCAGGGGAGAAUCUUGUCCUGGCGUUUUUUUUUGGGUAGAAACCUCCCCAAAAAAACGUGUAUCAAUGUUGAGCUAAUUUCUAUUCAAUUGGACGAACAGGGGGUGGUCCCGUGUUUUUUGUUGGGUAUAUGUAGAUUUGUAUCAGAAAACCGGAAAUCUCCUCGAGUGUCAAAGACAUGAUAGAAACUGGACCAUCUUCAAUUUCAAACAGCAAUUGCGCCAGAUGUUGGACUUUCAUUAAAGG